UACCUAGCCGGUUCGAGCUAACCCGCCGCCUGUACCGCGGUUCAUCAUCAUUGUAGAUAGAUAGGCUUGCUUUGAAGGGCCGGAGUAUACAUGUCGGCACGGUGAACCCGUACAGUUAACGGUCGUGUCAUGUACGCGUACCUGCUGUCGGCGCCGGCUGUUCCUUCUUAACUGGCGGGUUAAAAGAGCUGGCCCGUUUUCUGCGUUCCAGUAUAGGGAGCUCUAUUAUGGCAGGUAGCAGGAGCAGCGCGCUUCUUUACACUGUUUGGUGCAGCAAGAGUGGUGUGGUUAAGCGUAUAUAUGCCCUGCCCUUGCCCUGCCCUGCCCACACGUGGCAACGAAAGGUGGCCCGGCAGCUGCAGCGGGCAAAGUUAAACGGACGGGCCGGCACACGGGCACAUCUGUCCGUUGGUUGUGCCCCGACGUUAGUACGUACGUAGCCAAGUACGCAUACCUAUGAGCAAGGUGUUUUUCCUAAAACGUAAAUCCAAGAGACUGGUAAGGCCGGCAAGGCUGCUGAUCAACAUUUGAGCAUUACCGAUGAACCACACACUAGUACUCCUCGUCCUUUCAAGGAUCUUUACAGGAGCCGGGGAAAAAGCCCUCAUUAGGUCGUAGCGGUAGAGUCGUUCAACAGUCUUGCCGUUAAGAUACUAUGCUACGAUACUCUGUAAUACUGGGUCUGAUCGGGGAGACUAAGAUGCUAAGACUACUCAUCUUAGAUCCAAAGGUGAUAUCAACACUAGGAUAAUAACUUCGAGGCUAGGCUAAGAUUUAGUACCAAAACUGAUGCGCACUGGAACGCGUACGGCUACCGUACGAUUACAACGGCGGCGAUCCCAAGACGUAGCGGCUACCUGCUCUUUCAUUGUAGAUACGUCAGUAGGUUGUUCACUGCUGCUGCAGUUGCAACCCAGUUAGUGUGAUCUGUAAACGGACUCAGUUACCUUAUUGGUUUAACCGCGGUAACGCGGCUUCGUGGUGGCCGGGUUGCCUUGUGUACCAGUUUGAAGAGCACGUAGGUAUCUACUUUUCCUUUUAGAUGGAUGGACUAGAGCAGUCACCCAAGUUGCCACGUUUGUGCCGGCUACCGCUUCUUACCCACCCUUCACUGGUAUAACUCGUGGUGGUGGUUGUGCAGCUUUCCUGGUUUCACUACGCUUUACUUCCGGAUGGACAGACGGGAGUGAACGGUGACCUAGAUAGCUGCGUGCGUGGUAGUUUCGGUUCCCUCGGUAAUAAUUUGUGGAGGUACUGGUGAGAGCUUUCCCGGUUUCGUUACUUGUUUACUUCUAGAUGGGUUACGCGGUUCUACCCCAUUUCAUUUUCGUCGGUGGUCAUUUAGUACCGGAGAACAUGUUGAGUCGCUGGCUCAGCUUCUGCACGGCCACCUCGUACCCACUCACACUCUACUGGUCUUAUAAACGUAGUUCGGUUUUGUUCUAUCAGCCUUAGCAGCCUAAACCUCGGGGCUACCAUCCUAACGUUUAGUACAUUAGAAAUGACUACGUUAGCACGUUUACCUCUAAUGUGAUUCGUCUUAACAUCUUGGCUUCAUCAGCCAAACUUAGUAUCUCAGCAUUUUAUUACGUUAUUUUAAGACUAAGUUUGAUGAAGUUGGGGCUCGGUUUUAAUUUAACUAUCCACUAAUUAAUUCGUUGAGAUCAUAUAAGAGUUAUAUAGCCACUACCCUCGUUGGAAUAACAACAAUGAAAAUCCUGUGGGAAUUAACCGCUUGCAAACAGUCCCUCCCACCAUAAACGCUUGCUAACGGACCUCAGCAUCAACACUCACUCACCCCUCUCAACCGUCAGAGUUGUUCGCUGUACUAUCAAGAAGGGCUCUUCCGUUAAAAACAAAGUUUGAUGGCAGCAAACUAGAGCAAAAUAUUGAUCUUGACGGUCGUUUCUACCAAGCGAACUGUCGGGGAUUGUCGCUUGCAAGCGAGCCAUGUUAAUGGUAUCAAAACUACAAUGUAGAAAACACCUCUCAGUGAGUUUCUGUACACAAUCACGUGAUAGAAUAUGAGAUUUACCACACUCACUAGGUUCUUGGUUAGGGGUCCGCUGUUUCGGUUGUAGAUCUACUCAACUCUUACUAACUUUGCUCCUUCUUCUCAAGUUCUCCGUCGAACAUUUAAAUUUUUCGUGAGGGGAUCAGUGUGUUUAACUAAAAAAAAUAAGUCGGGCAUUUUUCCAUACGUCACUUUUGUUGGAAAAACAUCCCGUUUCAAACAAUUAUCUAUCCGUUGACGUUAAAAGUUUUGUCUCACGUCAGCGCCUCCUGAGAGUUUUGAACCAACGCAAAGGAGGAAAUAGAUGCAGAAUAGAGAAGGCAGCGGCUCAAACAAGGAUAUUAAUGCAGCCGAUGAGCUCGAAAGGAUUUGAUUAGUCGGCGAAGGUUGAGUUUGAGCGGCGGCCUGCCGCGGGAGGCCUUCUCAGUUGCGGUGCAUAUAUUGGGCUCCCCUUGCCGGAGACUGACGGGCCGGCCUUCUGAGGCAACCAAAAAGCGGGACAACGACGGCGCCGGCCAUCGGACGCACGCACAGGCCGCUAGCAGGGAAUUAGAAUAGGGGCGGCGGCGGCGGCGGCUGCCCCCGGUACGUCGACGUGCGCGCGGCCGCCGUGCGGCACCGCGCCACGGCGGACGACUAGCGCCGGCGCCGGCAGCGGUACAGCGAGCGACGCCAGGAGACGGAGUCGGCGCAGCUGGGGCGGCCGGACGAGCGGCGCGGGCGCGCGCGCGAGGUCGAGCACGGCGGAGCGGCCGACGUGCAGGCGGAGCCGCGGCAGUUUCCCUGGUGGCGCUGGCGGUGCGGGCGUCGGCCUGCCUUCAGCGCCGGCGGCGGCAACCUCUGGCUCCGGCACGACGACGGCCUGACCCUCCACGAGCAGGACGAGGCGGGGCCGCGGGUUCUGCUGCGACCUCCCUUGCGCUGCACGCGGAAGCCGGCGCCCCGCAGCAGGGGACGCGCGCGCGAGCCCUUCGACGGCCGCAGGCCCGCGGCGCGCAUGGAGACGCAGCACGGGCACGGCCGCGCGUCGGUCUCCGCCGAGGCGCGCGGCGCCGAGCACUAGAGGAGGAGCAGCAGCAGCUUCUAAUCAUGGCGGUGGUCAGUACCGUUUAGCGGGCUCUAAGACUCCACCUCGCCGGCCGACCACAUGCUCAGGCGCCACCAGGUGCCGCCGCUGCACGAGCAGAAGCGGUUCCCUCAGUUGGGCGCCGUUCCGCACUUGGCCCGCCGGAGACUACAGGCCACGCACAUGAUGGCGGCGCGCCCACGGCCGCGGCCACUGCGGCAGCACCGGAGCGAGGGGCGCCGGUGGAGCCGCGUCGUCCAGAAGGCCACGGGCGGAGGCGGGUGCUGGCGGCGUAGGGUCCUCGAGGCGCAGUGCGAGCGGCAGCGGCCGCUCCUAGGGGAGGGCAGAGACCGGCACAUGUGGGGCGGCGCGAGACCUAGCAGUUGCUGCGGCCGCGGCCUCUUCUUCGACUAUACGCGGACGUGGUACCAGGCGCUGCACCGGUUCAAGGACGGCCUCACCCACCACAUGGUGCGCCGGCACCCGCACCUGGCCAAGAUGGAGAUGCUGUUGCCCUCGCUCCUACUGGACCUCCUGGUCCAGGUGGUCGAGUUGAGUCGGCCCAUGUUGUAGAGGUGGCACUGUACCGGCACCCGGUUCCGGGUCCUCCGGCCCAAGAGGGUGUCGCGACGCCACGAAGCUCUAAGCACGCUCACCCACCGUAAAUAGCUGCAGCUGCUCAAGUAGAAGAGGGGUUCUACCUUGGUUUGCCUCUGGGGCUGGCUUAGGUACGAGGCCAGCCAACAUAGUAGUCGGCUUGGUCUGUAACCAGCCCACAGUUACUCCACGCGGCUAAAGCCUGGGAGCCCGGUCUGGAGGUUGGGCUUCCUUCCCCAGUGGGUUCCUAUGUGCACGGCCUCCGCUCAGCUCCUCGCCGUGUUCAGCAACGAGGCCGAGCUGCGCCGCCUGCUGAGCGACGAGUUGAGGUAGGUAGUGAAGUGCGAGGCGGGGCCCAAGGCCCAGCUCACCUCGUUCGCCCAGGCACAGUUGGUGAUGUUCAUGGUUCGAACCCUCCUCAAGUUCCAGUUCAAGUCCGCGGCCCACAGCUGCAUGCACCGGCUGACCUGGCUGGGCCACUUGGAAGUCAGGUUCCUGGCCUGGGGGCCGGAGCCAAAGCUCCGGCAGCUUGGCCAGCCAACCUGCGUGUUCAAAACGCUCCACUUACUAUGAGACGAGGUGCUGUGCUGGGCCUCUACCAAGCCGCAACCCAAGCCCUUGUUAGAGUGAUCACAUCCUGUGUCGUCGUCGAGUAGCAUCGACUACGUAACGUCACAUGUUUGGUUCUUCUAAUCCUAUGUUGUUUGUGACUAAGAAAGUUCUGUAUUAACAUAUUUGUAACAAUGCAAUCCUUCAUAUCCUCUCCCAGGGAAAGAACAUGUUUUCCAACGAACUAAAACUUGUAUAUAUCAUAUAAGACAACUACCUAUACACGAACGAACGGUACUAGACCCGUUCCGUCCAUGAAGAAAAAGAAAAAAGAGGUCGUCCAACGAACCCACCCGUCAAAUAUUGUCGAUUACCAGUAUCCAACGAGGUUGUUCGUUAACAGUCUCUGUUUUUGUUUUCCAACGAGGUGGUUCGUUGACACAAUUGUCGUAUAUAAUAAGAUAUGUUCUAUGUUUCACACAGGACCAAAAGUAGCGUAGUGCUGAAGAAAACAGAGAAAAGAACCGUUCUAACACCACUGAUAUAUAUACUACACAUUAAAACAUCCACUUUAAAUCGAUGAAUCUCUCACGUAGGAAUUGAAAGGCGGUUUCCUGUUAAGAGGCUAUUAAGUCUUAAGAUAAGGUUUUCCUUUGACGAAAAGUUUCCCGUAACUCUACGUUUCCUCUCGGAAAGUUCUCUAGUAAGCUAGGGUUUAACACGUAUAACCACACAUUGAACUUCAUGUGUUUUUCUUGUUUGUUCAACACGAAGCCCUGGCGGGUAAACGACGAAUUUUCCCAACUUGUACACGGUCCGUAACGAGCCUCAAACGAGUCUGAACUAGAAGUCCCACUUUUAGGUACUAGACUGGAAACCCAUAACCUAGGCCACUGCCGAAGUGAACACACAACUAAAGAAAGGCCUCCGUAGUGAAAACUUCUUGGAGAGAGCAUCAAAAAUACAACAGUACUCUAUCAACCUCGGCUACAAACAAAAACAUGUAGUCACUAGUGAUAAAAAUAACGAAACCCUACAAAAAGGAAAAAGAAAGGUGGAUCCGUAUCGAAGCCAGAUCAUACUGAACCGAGAAACGGUCGUUCUAGCACACACACACACACGCGCGCGCGUGCACGCACACGCACCCGUACACGUACGCACACGCACACUCACACAGCGAGUAAUAUUAACAUAGGUAACUACGAUAUAAUACUCAGUUAUUUUUAUGGGAAAUAUUUUUUUGAAUACGUUUGUGAUUUAAUGAAAAUAGAUUACGUCGAAGGUGUUGCAGGUUGAUACCACAUAGUCCAUUUACACGUAGGAUCAACGGUACGUUGAGUGAUCACAGUUACUCGCGAUGUAGUGGUACUGUUCACCCAGGUAGUACAGUCUUACUGCGUCUACAUCAGAUCUCUCUACUUAACAAACGUAUUAGAUCAAUUUUCACCGUGUCCUUUGAACAACCAUACGCCGUUAUAUAUAGAACGAUUUUGCCCUUAAAGUUUUGUGUUUUAUUGUAACACUUUAAGUGGUAGUGUUAUAAAAGUGUUAAAAGGAAAAAUACUUUGAAGUCAUGUUAUAAGUAUGCGCUUAUUUCUCGUACGCGCAAUUAACCACCAGAAUCAUCACCACGUUACACUAAUUGAAUAAAGCAUCUACACCGUGUGGACAGAAACAGGUGAUUCAAUAUGGUUCGAGUACAGAGUUUUUUUUUCAAUAUGGUUCGAGACUCGGCUAGCGCUCUUCUUAGACACGACAAAACACUACCCUCACUUUCAUAGAGAGAGUUACUUCGUUUCAGUAAUGAUCUAUCUUUUCAUGGCGUGUUAGUGAAACAAUUAGGUCACUCUCACACCACUUACGUGCGUACUUGUGUACGUACACGCACACGCAGACCAGUCGUGUUCCGUUCGGAUGCACGUUUUCGUCUUAGACGGGUAAUAAAAUAUCGCAGCAUAUUGGUGGCUUUGUACAUACAACCGGUUCUAUUUAUUGGAUUUUUAUGUUUCGGCAUUCAUUUGCGAAAGAGUGGUUAUAUUCUAGUUGCAUCAUAUUUCGUUACUACUUACGUUAUUACUUUGUUUAAGCUAGAUAGUUAGUAAUCUCGUUUAUUUUGAUUCGUAUAGAGGAGGGUAGGAAGAGAUAACGAGAGGAACCUCCUUUUCAGUGUGUUGGUCCUCUUAAGAAAUCACAGAAUGGGCGUUUUUUUAUUUUUAAGAAAUCACAGAUCACUAAACAAAUAAUCAUAUAGACUAACACACGACCUUGACCAUCAAUUCAUCUAUUCAAAUCCCAACCUUCUACUACUAAACCCCGAUCUCGACCGCUCCAGCAACGGUCGCGGCUGGCAAAACCUCAGUUUCCGCACGUACGUACAGGAGCAUAACGGCCCGAUCGAGAGUGGAUGGCCGUGCGUGUAUUUUGCAAGAGUAAUUCUCAUUGUUGCUAUAUUCAUCAGACGAUCAUUUCGUAUGAGUGAGACAUUACUAGAUUUGCGAGAAUAUAAAUAAAUGCUUUUCUCAUAAGGUAAUACGUAAGUACGAAUCGAACUAAUCAUGAGGGAGGCAUUUCUUUAUAUUUUCGUAUAUCUAGUGAUAAAAUCACUAGAUUUGCUACAAUAUAAACAAAUGUCUCCCUCAUCAUGGAUAAUUCGCAUUGGUAUAAUACAUACAUACCUAAUAACAAACAUAAACGUUAUACCUUGUAUAUAUUACGAUAGCACCCUUCUUCCCGCACUUUCCAUAUAUACGACUAUGGAGCGGACACGCGCACCCGUGACGUGCUACCUGGUGCAAAACAAGGGACCUGCAAAACUACGCGGUUCAAAUAAGUCCAGUAAGACCUAGUACACCGUGCGCGAGAAAAUGAAAAGCCCACUGACGGUGUGUCUAGAGGUUCGUAGGGACCUCUUCUGACCACGGUGGCGGAGGUGCUUGGACGUGCGUGCGUAACACACAGAAUUUAAAAAAAAAUCUUUUGAAAAGUUAGAUAAGUAGUAGUUAGUACUAUCAUGUUGCUUAUUGUCUUUAUUAUUUUCAAUGUAAGUCUAGGCAUCUGGUGGAUCGUUGCUGAUGUUUGUGACUUCACUCAGCUUUCGCGCGGCAGCAGUAGCAGAGAGGGAAGGACUUCGGCCCGUUUUGAACAACACAAUCUAUCAGCUUUUCAGCAGCACGAUUUCGGGCUAUCCUGGUUGCGUGGUCUUGUAGUUGGCGGCGGCAACUUCUCUUCAAAUCUAGCCUUCCUAGGUUAGACAUCUAUUUGCUUGUUUUUCGCCUAGGUACACCUAGGUCGCUUCUGUUUGCAACUGGCUUAGGGCACUUUAGGCGGACUGAACUGCUGAAACAUCGCCGCACAUGGACACUAGAGUUUCUUCUCCCUUACUGUAUUGUCGUUCCUCUUUUCACUAACGACUACGGAAACUCAGUGUAUAUCUCGCAUACCCGUGUUCACCUGAGGGGACUAACUUUAACGUGAACCUACCUCCUCCACCCCCCGGAUCCUAGCGGUGGCACGCUUAGUUCUUAUUCCCAAUGGGUAGAAGACUAGGUGAAGUAACCACCGUCGGAGCAACUACCACAUCUCCUCCCCGCCCCCAACGCCAAGAGAGGCUGCCAAACUAACAGACCAGCGAUGAGAAUUACCUAAAUACCUAGAUCAGCACAAAAGCACAAUACAUCUGCCAGAGGUUUCCACAGAAAAG
rnacentral:rRNA from 1 species